UACGGAGGGUGCAAGCGUUAUCCGGAUUCACUGGGUUUAAAGGGUGCGUAGGCGGGCAGGUAAGUCAGUGGUGAAAUCUCCGGGCUUAACCCGGAAACUGCCGUUGAUACUAUUUGUCUUGAAUAUUGUGGAGGUAAGCGGAAUAUGUCAUGUAGCGGUGAAAUGCUUAGAUAUGACAUAGAACACCAAUUGCGAAGGCAGCUUACUACACAAUGAUUGACGCUGAGGCACGAAAGCGUGGGGAUCAAACAGG
rnacentral:rRNA from 1 species